rnacentral:rRNA from 1 species
CAUUGAGCCUUGAUGUGUAGGAUAGGUGGGAGGCUUUGAAGCGUGGACGCCAGUCUGCGUGGAGCCGACCUUGAAAUACCACCCUUUAAUGUUUGAUGUUCUAACGUGGACCCGUGAUCCGGGUUGCGGACAGUGUCUGGUGGGUAGUUUGACUGGGGCGGUCUCCUCCUAAAGAGUAACGGAGGAGCACGAAGGUUGGCUAAUCCUGGUCGGACAUCAGGAGGUUAGUGCAAUGGCAUAAGCCAGCUUGACUGCGAGCGUGACGGCGCGAGCAGGUGCGAAAGCAGGUCAUAGUGAUCCGGUGGUUCUGAAUGGAAGGGCCAUCGCUCAACGGAUAAAAGGUACUCCGGGGAUAACAGGCUGAUACCGCCCAAGAGUUCAUAUCGACGGCGGUGUUUGGCACCUCGAUGUCGGCUCAUCACAUCCUGGGGCUGAAGUAGGUCCCAAGGGUAUGGCUGUUCGCCAUUUAAAGUGGUACGCGAGCUGGGUUUAGAACGUCGUGAGACAGUUCGGUCCCUAUCUGCCGUGGGCGCUGGAGAACUGAGGGGGGCUGCUCCUAGUACGAGAGGACCGGAGUGGACGCAUCACUGGUGUUCGGGUUGUCAUGCCAAUGGCACUGCCCGGUAGCUAAAUGCGGAAGAGAUAAGUGCUGAAAGCAUCUAAGCACGAAACUUGCCCCGAG